UCCCCGUUGGCCGGGGCAGUCUCGCCUGAAAAAUACAACAGACGAUAAGGGUUGCGCUCGUUGCGGGACUUAACCCAACAUCUCACGACACGAGCUGACGACGGCCAUGCAGCACCUGUCACCUAUCCAACUAAAUGACGCCUUAAUUUCUUAAGGCUACGAUAGGGAUGUCAAGCCUCGGUAAGGUUCUUCGCGUAGCUUCGAAUUAAACCACAUGCUCCACUGCUUGUGCGGAGUCCCGUCUAUUCCUUUGAGUUUUAGCCUUGCGGCCGUACUCCCCAGGCGGGAUGCUUAACGCGUUAGCUUCUCAACGCAAAGGGUCGAUACUUCGCACUAAUAGCAUCCAUCGUUUACGGCGUGGACUAC
rnacentral:misc_RNA from 1 species